CUCAGGCAGCGUAGAAUCCUGGCUGUGUUUAAUUGUCGAGUGGCGAGAUCUAAAGGGAGAGAUCGGGAAUCACAUGGAGCCGCUGCGUCUGUCAGCGCUUUACGAGCCCCAGCCCCGACAGAGACGCGCAGAGAAGCCGUAGGAAGGAAGUGCUUGGGAGCGGGGAUUUUUUUUUUUACGCAGUGGAAGGUGUAGACAGAGGUGAAAGACUGUAGGAGAGUUGGAGAAGAAGAAGAAAAAAGGAAAAGAAAAGAGGCCCACCGUUUGGAGGAAAGGGCAAUAAGCAGGAAAAAAAAGUGGGAAAACUAGAGUUAGAAAAACGGGAGGAAGGAAGGGGGAGGUGAGAGAGAGAGACGGCAGAACAACAAAAAAAGUUUGGGAGUAGGGAAGUGCAAGAGAGAGAGGGAGACAGUUAUACGCAGAUGAGAAAAGCAGACGCAGGAAAGUGGAUGGAGCAAGGAAUUUUGGCUUUUUAGUUUUUGAGGUCGGGGAAUGCACUCGGAGGAUACAGCGACGGGAUUACGAACGCCUUCCUGCCACUUUUGCCUGCAGCAGGAAUCCAGACGCACUAUUGAGGGAUCAUGUCUGCGCAUGGAGCCCACAGUCGCACCGUUUCCAAAGGAGUUAUGGAUAGACGGAGCACACACAACUGGUGUUUAUCCACCAAAACAAGGUUACUCCGAGGAAAUACGACAUCCGUGUUACUCCAGAUGGGAUCCUCCAUGUGUGCAAGAAAUACAAAGGGAAUGCGGAUGCAUUCAGAGAUGGUAUUACCCUGAGAUUACAUAUCCCUACAAUGGUGAUCAUGUUUGGAAGGUUAGAGGUCAACACUAUUAUGGCCGUCUACCGGAAUGGGAGCAAUCCUAUAACACACAAUGCACAAGACGAAGGGUUUCUUUUAGGCAUCACCAAGAGGAGCGACCUGCGCUCAUCAGACAAUCGCUAUCAAGUCCUGGAAAACUGCACUGUAAUGGGACGACCUCCGAACAAGCGUUUUUCCCCACCGAAGUGCCCUCCAGUAAGUUAAUCCGCUCAGGACCGCAGCGGGACGUAAAAAAGACGGUUCAUGGUGGCGCAAAGAGUCUGGAGGGUCGAGGGAAUCAGAGGAAGAGCCAGGGCACCGUACGGGAACAGAUCAAACAAGUGGUCACUGAGCUGGAGGAAGUGCUGGGUGGUCUCAAACAGGUCCAGUUGGAGAUGAAAGAGGUCGUCCAACAAAUCGACGUUCUGACGUCCAACAUUGACCUCAGUGAAGAGCAACCAACGCCGUCCAAUGGACUCCCUCAAGAUGCCAUCAGAAGCAGCCGGACAGACGUUGUGGCUUUAAUACACAAUUCAAAUGGAGACGACAACGACACGUCAACAUCCAGUUCCUCUCUCACAUACAGCCCUUCGGAUUUACCUUACAUUAACAACCCUUCUCCAAUAAGAAACCAUUCAAACUCGUCCCCUACUAAGCAACAUGACAUUAAUAUUGAGGAUAAAUGCAGAAAACAGAGCUCAGAGACUCAAAGGACUCACAGGACGGCCAAUGGAAACUGCGUAGCAUAUCGGACGGCUAAAAAAGUCCAACUGGAUAAUCACAAACCCCCAAUAGUCCCAGUAGUGUGCACUAAUAACUCCAAUAAAACCCACCGGCCGCCACCUUAUCCUCAGAACGGACAGGUGAAGAUGAGGACGCCUCCUUAUCCCGGAAAACAUAAGACGCUGUCGUCCACUGUAGUGUAAGGACAACAAACUAACUCGCUAUACCAUUACUCAAAGAGGACAACACACUUACUGUCAAACAUCAUGCAUAUAACUCACAGAUUCAUGCACACACACUUAAUCCAUCACUGAGAAAAUCCUUAAUGGUGGUGAUACUCAGGGGACUGAUGCCACACAACCCAGCUGACUCACAGUGGAGGAAAACCGGGGCUGAUGGGCAGUGACUGUAUUUCCCAUGGAAAACUCCAGAAACAUCUCAAAAGCUUCAUUCACGCACACACGCACCUGCUGAAAACAAGUUUGGAGCAACUUAAAAGUCACCAUGUAAUGACAAUCAAAGUUUAUUUACUUGGAUGUAUUUCUGAUUGAAACAGGAAGUCAAUGAGGGAAUGUUUGUUCAAACGGGCACUAUCGCUUCCAGCACCCCAGCUUGAUCAGUUGGCAUUUCUGUGUGGAGUUUGCAUGUUCUCCCCGUGUUAGCGUGGGUUUCCUUCGGGUGCUCCGGUUUCCCCCACAGUACAAAUACAUGCUCUAUAGGGGGAUUGGAUGAACUAAAUUGGCCGUAGUGUAUGAGUGUGUCUGUGUGAAUGUGAGUGUGUAUGGUUGUUUCCCAGUACUGGGUUGCGGCUGAAAGGGCAUCUGCUGCGUAAAAAAUAUGCUGGAAUAGUUGGCGGUUCAUUCCGCUGUGGCAACCUCUGAAAAAGAGACUAACCGAAAGGAAAAAUAAAUGAAUGAAUGAAUGUUUGGUCAUAGGGGGCGGGAUUAAAAAGCAAAAUUAGUUAUGUCAGCAGAAAAGGAAAGUUGUUUUAGAGUUACAUUUUGAGGAAAUAUUAUGAACAUUUAUUUGCAUCACCAGCUAUGUUUCCAUCUGUCUGUUCUUAAUGCACAUUUUGGAAUAUCUUAUUAAAGAUGCUUAAAGGUGCAGUAUGUAAGUUUGACACCCAGUGGUUGAAGUAGGUAUUGCACUCCUGGAUCAAAACGCAAGCUCAGGUUGCCAGAUUGAGGACAGGAGCGAGUGAUUUAAAUCAUGUUCUAAAUAAAAGCAAAGGCACCCGAUAGAAGGAAUAUUCUCUAUAUUAAAAGGAGUUUUUGUCUCAACCAACACCUCGAAUUGAUAUAUUAGAAACGGCUUCUAUUUCUCACAGGUUAAAAACAGAAAACUGACAAAAAAAUGAUCACCUCAGGUAAACCUCAUGUGCUUUAUUCAGUUUUAAAUGCUAAUAAUGUGAGUGUGAAUGCCAUUUUACAUGACAUUUAUUGACAUAUACUGAAAGCAGCAGCAGAUAGUUCACCUCAGAUCUUGAAAAUAAAGUCAACUGUUUGAAAUUGAACUUUAGAGCAAAACACGUGAUUGAGCAUGUACAUUUAAUAAUGUUAAAGAGGUUUAAUAUGUAUUAAUUAGAUUAUAAACCUUACCAUUUAGUGAGAGAGUGCAUAUUCUGUGCUUCUGAAUGGCUGUAUUUAAAUUUCUGUCAUGUUUCGUCUGGUGCAAACAGCCAAAUUGCUGAUCACUGCAAAUCUCAUCAUGUAUGUUGUUAGGAUACGGAGUUACAAUGUAACCUGCUGUUUAUGUUCAUAAUAUUUAUAUUAUUUGCUAAUUAAUAACCUCAUGAGGAACUGAAUCUGCUUCUCAUGUCAGAGUCUGCUGCUGUCCACUGGAGGUCGCAUUUCGGUCAAGGACGCAUGCUUUAAGAGCCUUUCUGAAUGAAUGAAAUACACUGUUCUACAAGGGCAACCCGGGGUGCUGAAAUAUAAUUGGCUAAACUGUCAUUGGGCAGGUUAAAAUGACCAAAACAAAAGCAGCGUUCAGGCACGGGAAAACACAUUUACAAAGCAGAAUAUCUGACUUCAGCAGUGUUUUUCAGAUAAACAAGAAUGUUCACUUGGCAUGUUUCUUAAAUAUCUGCAAACAUAUCAUGGUGGUUUUAUGCUUUAGAAGAGUCAGAAACUUACAUACGGCACCUUUAAUGGAAACGAUAUGAAGCGCAUAAGAAACGUAAAAGCAUACAGCUGAGUAGGAUAAACUAUAUCCUAUAAACUUUAUCCUAAAAGAAAAAAGGUGCAUAAAUUACAGUAGACAUACAUUUACUGAAAAAAAUUCCAGAAUGCGCAUCAAAAAGCAACUGAGCAUUCAUUUCAUUCGGUUUUUGUCUUCUGUAGUAUUAUAAUAAACAAUAUUAUCUAAUUCUAUAAGAAAAAAGGCCCACAGUGAAGUAGUAAAAUACAGCUACUGAAUUUUAAACAACCAACACUCAAAAAAAAUGCUGUUUUGGGUCAAAUAUGGCUCAACAACAACUGGGUUAAAAAUUGUGAUUUUUAUUUAAUUGGAAUAACUAAUCCAAUAUUUGGUUCAUACAUACUCUAUAUCAGGUGUUCCCAAACCUUUCAGCCCGCGACCCCCAAAAUAACAAUGCCAGUGACUCGCGACCCCCAUUAUCUUCUGAGGUGGUUAUAAAUGCAGAAACGUUGCAUGCAAUGGCGCGCAC